AUCCUUUAGUUUAUGGGUGUGAUAAUUGGAUAUUCAUGCCAAAUGCAUGAGAUUUGCCCCCUUCAAACAAUUUUGGCACAUUGCUCAUCUGACA
rnacentral:snoRNA from 1 species